rnacentral:snRNA from 1 species
UUCCUCUAUUUUAGAGUCAACUC